rnacentral:rRNA from 1 species
AACGAACGCUGGCGGCAUGCCUAACACAUGCAAGUCGAACGAGACCUUCGGGUCUAGUGGCGCACGGGUGCGUAACGCGUGGGAACCUGCCCUUAGGUUCGGAAUAACUCCCCGAAAGGGGUGCUAAUACCGGAUAAUGUUUUCGGACCAAAGAUUUAUCGCCUUUGGAUGGGCCCGCGUUGGAUUAGCUAGUUGGUAGGGUAAAAGCCUACCAAGGCGACGAUCCAUAGCUGGUCUGAGCGGAUGAUAAGCCACACUGGGACUGAGACACGGCCCAGACUCCUACGGGAGGCAGCAGUGGGGAAUAUUGGACGAGGGGCGAAGGCCUGAUCCAGCAAUGCCGGGUGAGUGAUGAAGGCCUUAGGGUUGUAAAGCUCUUUUACCCGGGAUGAUAAUGACAGUACCGGGAGAAUAAGCGCCGGCUAACUCCGUG